GACGAACGCUGGCGGCGUGCCUAAUACAUGCAAGUCGAGCGAAAAGACGCUGCGCUUGCUGCUCUCACGUUAGCGGAGCACGGGUGUGACACGCGUGUAUAACCCACCUAUAAGAGUGGGAACACUACGGGACAGCGGCUAUAAUCCGGUAUAAUCUCCUGCACCGCAUGGUUGAAUAGAGAAUGUCGGCUUUUCUGUAUCUUAUCGCUGCAUCCGCGCCGCUUUAGCUAGUUGGUAAGGUACCGGCUUACCAAGGCGAAGAUGCGUAGCCGACCUGAGAGGGUGAUCGGCCACACUGGAACUGAGACACGGUCCAGACUCCUACGGGAGGCAGCAGUAGGGAAUCUUCCGCAAUGGGCGAAAGCCUGACGGAGCAACGCCGCGUGAGUGAUGAAGGUCUUCGGAGCGUAAAACUCUGUUAUGAGGGAAGAACAAAUGUGUAAGUAACUAUGCACGUCUUGACGGUACCUAAUCAGAAAGCCACGGCUAACUACGUG
rnacentral:rRNA from 1 species